rnacentral:rRNA from 1 species
AUUGAACGCUGGCGGCAGGCUUAACACAUGCAAGUCGAGCGGGGAAGAGUAGCUUGCUCCUUGACCUAGCGGCGGACGGGUGAGUAAUGCUUAGGAAUCUGCCUAUUAGUGGGGGACAACAUCUCGAAAGGGAUGCUAAUACCGCAUACGUCCUACGGGAGAAAGCAGGGGACCUUCGGGCCUUGCGCUAAUAGAUGAGCCUAAGUCGGAUUAGCUAGUUGGUGGGGUAAAGGCCUACCAAGGCGACGAUCUGUAGCGGGUCUGAGAGGAUGAUCCGCCACACUGGGACUGAGACACGGCCCAGACUCCUACGGGAGGCAGCAGUGGGGAAUACUGGACAAUGGGGGGAACCCUGAUCCAGCCAUGCCGCGUGUGUGAAGAAGGCCUUUUGGUUGUAAAGCACUUUAAGCGAGGAGGAGGCUACCGAGAUUAAUACUCUUGGAUAGUGGACGUUACUCGCAGAAUAAGCACCGGCUAACUCUGUG